AAUGCAUGAGUUCUUCUUAUUAGAUUUAGAUAUAACCACGAUGGAUUGAUAUUUAUCAGUAGGUGAUUUUGCAGUAGUAGAAUUCUACUAUCCGCUACAAACACCUAAAAGAUGCUUGUCAUAAAUAAAAUUUGUAUUGAAGUCAUUAUGUUAUCGCGAUUUUCGGGUGUCAAGUCAUUAAUUAGGUUUGAACCUUUCAAUCUUUGAUAUUCUCUAUUUUUUCUUGGGAAGGGCAAAAUUGAGAAAAAACCCUUAGAUUCUAAGUUCGGGGGUCGCUUUCGCUACGGGAAGGUGUUAGGCACCCGGAACGAUUAUGGUAUUCCAUAAGAACCGUUCUCCUAUGUUUCUUUCUACGCUUUAUUUUUAUUGCCUACUUAUUUAAAAAGAAGUUUUAUUUGAGUGAAGAAUGGGGGAGAGAAGAUGAUUGAGAUUUUAUUUUACUUGGCUUGGAGGAGUUUUAACUCAUUGCCUACGUACCCUUUUAAGGGAUCAAAACCAAACGUAGUUCAUUCUCGAAAAUUGUUUUUGUUUUUGUUGGUUGAUUUUAAGUUUGAAAAGAAAAAGAGGAAUUUUGAAGAAUGGAGAUGAGAGGCCUCAAGGGCAUGAGAUUUGGAAAAUGUGAGGUGGAAUUAGUUAUUUUGCAAAAUAAGGUCUAAGUAUGAUUAAAAUUCAUUAAGAUUUUUACUUAAGAAAAUAAAAGGAAAAUGAGGAGUUUUGACUCCUAUUUUAAAUAAAAAGUUUUCAAGUGAGGUUAUUCACAUUUUUUUGGGAAAAUGAUUUUUGUCUAAGUGUUGUAAAACCUAAGCAUACAUCUAAACAUACAUUCCCUAAUCAUGCAUCUAGAAUAUCCAUAUGGGAUGUGUGCAUGUGUCGGUGCUUGUGUCGGUGUACAUCACUUAUAGUGUCCAUAGUCCUUUACAUCGAGUCCUAAAUACAUGCUAUGGUCUUGCAAGGAUUUAAAAGAUGAAUUUAAACUAGCCUAAAAUAUUACAUAACCAUUGGAAAUACAAAAAAGGAAAAAUUGCAAGAAAUAAAACCUAAUCUAAUAGAAAUGAGAAUGAUGUGGUGAGAUGCUAUGAGAUGAGUGAAACAUGAGUCAACAAUGUUAGCAAAACAAGAUGAAAAAUGUAACAUGAGUGAUAGGAAAAAGCAAUCAAUUGAAUAUGAAAUGAAAUGGUAAAGAAAUGAUGAGAAUAACCAAGACAUAAUGAGAAGAAAAGUUGCUUGAAAUGCAAGAAACACACAAAUCGUACCAAAACAGUAGCACAAUCAUAAAAUCAACAUCACAUUUAACAUAAAAUUGCAUACUAAUUGCUCAUAACAUGUGCCAAAAAUUUAUGAAGAAAAAUAUGGCAAGAAAUUCACAAAAUUAAGCCAAAAAGAACAAAUUAAUCAAGAAAAUAACACCUAUAUUUUUAUCAUUUUUUUUUAACAUGUAAAAACAUCACAAAAGUAUCAGAAACAUAUCAAGAAACACAUAGAAAUUUUUAGGAAUUUUUAUGAGAAAAUUUGAGCAAGCGUGGGGUUCAGAUAGCAAGCAACAGGGUGCAAAUAGCAGGAAAUAAGGAAAAAAAAUAAAGAAAACCACAAACAGAAACCCAAGCCCAAAACCCAUGAAUCUGGAUGCACAGGAACCGUUAGAUUGAUCCAGAAAGCCAAACCCUAGAUCUAAAGGUUCAGAAUGAAGGGAAAGAACCAGAAAUAAACCGGACCGGUUCAGUUGUUUAUAAAAAGGCUUAUGGACCGGUUUUUUUUCAUUUCUUCCUCUUCCUUCUCUCUCUUCUCUCUAGAAUUCCGGUCAUCUUCUCCGGCGAGCAAAAGUUUUCCGGCGCGGUGGCCGGCCACCUCAAGGUGGCGGCGCCGCCGCUGGAAAAAAAAAUUUGCUCCGAUUCAAAUUUUUUUUACACUUUUAAACAUCCUUUUUCAUUCUAAACAUGAAUCCGGCACUAGAUUUUGCAUGCAAAGCUCGAAUCAACGUAGAUCUGAAGAUCUAUUUUCGGUUUUGGAAAGGAACUUUUUCAAAUUUUUUUUAUUUUUUCGAAUGGAAUCUUUUAGAAUUUCAUAGAUCUACACUUGAUUCGUCUUUGUUGAUGUUCUUGAGAAAAAAAAGAUGAAGUUUGAGUUUUACCUGUGAUUUUCGGUUGGAGAUUUCGAAUGAGUUCUUCGAAAAACUUUGAUUUGAUUCUGUUUGUGGAUUUUGCUGACUUGAAACCGAAAAUAAAUCGGUGUUCUUCUUCUUCACCGGUUCGAUUUUUCUUUCCCUCUUCUUCUUCUUCAAAAAACGCCUCUGCGAUCGUGCUUGAGUUUGCCGCUUUCAGUGGUGAAUUCGCACUCGAAUUGCAGAGCAAAACGAUUCAGUGAUGAAGAUUCUUUGAUGAAUCUCUGAGAAUCGGAGAAAAACUGAUGAAUCUGUUGAAUUUGAGUUCUGGAAAAUUUUAGGGUUUUUUAGUUUGUUCUUGGUGAUUUUUCUGUUUUGAUCUAACAGAAAAGAGAGAGAAAAUUGAAAUCUGUUUUUGGUGAUGUGUCAAUGAUUGUGUGGAUCUGUGCAGAAUAAUGCUAUUUAUAGACUGCCAUGUGUAUCUGAGAACCAAUGAAAAAAAGACAUCUGUUUUGGGACUGAUGUGGAUCGAAAAUCUGGACUAAAAUGCCCCUGGGACCUUUCUGCAAAAUAAAAAACUUGAAGGACUGGACAACAAUUAAAAAUGGACUAAAAUGAAAUUUUUUAAAAGUUUUGGACCAAAACGUGAUUAAAAAUAAAAUUGGACUAAAAAGUAAAUUUGACGAAACGUAAAGCGAAACCAAAAAUAAAAUGAACAAAAGGACUAAAACGAACCAAUUACUGACAUGAGGUAUUUUAAAAUACCUCCCUAUCAAAAUUUUGAUGGGAAAAGACCAAAAUGCCCCUAGGGACUAAACUGACUCAAACUGGCUCAGAUGCAAUUUUUGAAAUGAUUUUUUAAACAAAGACUCAACAAUGAUUUGUACAGACAAAUUGAAAAGACUCAGAGGCAAACACAUGGACUAAAAUAGGUUCCACUGCAGGAAAUGACCAAAAUACCCUUUUGUAUGAUUUUUUGAAAUAAAAUGCAAGAAAAAGUAGUGCGACGUUUCAGAGAGUUCUUAAAUGACUUGUAAUGCCAGAAAAGACAGAGGCAGUAAAAUACGUUUAAAAAGAGAGUAAAGAUUCAGAGUAAAAUAACAGAGAAUUGACAAAUAUCAGUGUUAGAAAAGAAAUUUGAAUGAGUAUUUUUAGGUCCAAAAUCAGGGUAUAACACAUUAUGAUCAGGAAGAUGCAGUUGCUUCCUCCUAACCUUCUCUUUAUGCUCCAAGACUUUCCUUUUCAAGUCCUCAACUGCAACAAUAUCUUACACCACAUCUAUAGUUUAACAGUGUCAUCCACUAAUAGAGUGUUUGGAUUCGAGUUUGCAUCAUGUUUCUCACUUUCCAAUGCACUCUUGACGUGAUUUUUGUGAAACUACAGUUGUAAGCUUCUAUGUAUUCAUGUGUUUGUUCCCAUUUGAACGUUGUUCCAAACAGGGGCUAAUUCAUUGUCUUCAUCACAAUUGGCAUCAAAAAAAUUUAUCGAAAAGGGAUUCUUCAAUUAAUUUUUUUAGGGAUAGUUGCUUCAACUGUAUGACCUGACACAUUAUAAAUCUUUUGUUAAUCAUCGUGUUUUCAACAUAAACAACCGCCAAAGUAUGAUAGAGAGUGAAAUAUAAAAC
rnacentral:lncRNA from 1 species